rnacentral:rRNA from 1 species
GGAACGAAGCUGGUCCAGGCUUAAAGAAAAAGUCGAGCGGGCGUAGCAUCGUCAGCGGCAGACUUGUCCGUACGCGUGGGAAAUACCUUUUGGUUCGGAACAACCAGGGAAACUUGUGCUAAUACCGGAUAAGCCCUUACGGGGAAAGAUUUAUCGCCGAAAGAUCGGCCCGCGUCUGAUUAGCUAGUUGGUGAGGUAAUGGCUCACCAAGGCGACGAUCAUAGCUGGUCUGAGAGGAUGAUCAGCCACAUUGGGACUGAGACACGGCCCAAACUCCUACGGGAGGCAGCAGUGGG